rnacentral:rRNA from 1 species
AUUGAACGCUGGCGGCAGGCCUAACACAUGCAAGUCGAACGAGUGGCGGACGGGUGAGUAAUGUCUGGGAAACUGCCUUAUGGAGGGGGAUAACUACUGGAAACGGUAGCUAAUACCGCAUACCAUCAGCUGUGCCCAUAUGGGAUUGGCUGGUUGGUGGGGUAACGGCUCAGCAAGGCGACGAUCCCUAGCUGGUCUGAGAGGAUGACCGGCCACACGGGACCUGAGACAGGGUCCAGACUCCUACGGGAGGGAGCAGUGGGGAAGAGUGCACAAUGGGCGCAAGUCUGAUGCAGCCAUGCAGCGUGUAUGAAGAAGGCCUCCGGGUUGUAAAGUACUUUCAGCGGUGAGGCGUUACCCGCAGAAGAAGCACCGGCUAACUCCGUGCCAGCAGCCGCGGUAAUAC